GGUUACCUUGUUACGACUUGAUCCUGGCUCAGGACGAACGCUGGCGGCGUGCUUAACACAUGCAAGUCGAACGGUGAAGAGGAGCUUGCUCCUUGGAUCAGUGGCGAACGGGUGAGUAACACGUGAGCAAUCUGCCCUUGACUCUGGGAUAACUGCGGGAAACUGUAGCUAAUACCGGAUAUUACCUUGGAAGGCAUCUUCUGGGGUGGAAAGAAUUUUGGUCAAGGAUGAGCUCGCGGCCUAUCAGCUAGUUGGUGAGGUAAUGGCUCACCAAGGCGACGACGGGUAGCCGGCCUGAGAGGGUGACCGGCCACACUGGGACUGAGACACGGCCCAGACUCCUACGGGAGGCAGCAGUGGGGAAUAUUGCACAAUGGGCGCAAGCCUGAUGCAGCAACGCCGCGUGAGGGACGACGGCCUUCGGGUUGUAAACCUCUUUUAGUAGGGAAGAAGCGACUGGGUUUUCCUGGGAGUGACGGUACCUGCUGAAAAAGCACCGGCUAACUACGUGCCAGCAGCCGCGGUAAUACGUAGGGUGCAAGCGUUGUCCGGAAUUAUUGGGCGUAAAGAGCUCGUAGGCGGUUUGUCGCGUCUGCUGUGAAAACCCGAGGCUCAACCUCGGGCCUGCAGUGGGUACGGGCAGACUAGAGUGCGGUAGGGGAGAUUGGAAUUCCUGGUGUAGCGGUGGAAUGCGCAGAUAUCAGGAGGAACACCAAUGGCGAAGGCAGAUCUCUGGGCCGUAACUGACGCUGAGGAGCGAAAGCAUGGGGAGCGAACAGGAUUAGAUACCCUGGUAGUCCAUGCCGUAAACGUUGGGAACUAGAUGUGGGGGACCAUUCCACGGUCUCCGUGUCGCAGCUAACGCAUUAAGUUCCCCGCCUGGGGAGUACGGCCGCAAGGCUAAAACUCAAAGGAAUUGACGGGGGCCCGCACAAGCGGCGGAGCAUGCGGAUUAAUUCGAUGCAACGCGAAGAACCUUACCAAGGCUUGACAUAACCGGAAACGGCCAGAAAUGGUCGCCCCGCAAGGUCGGUAUACAGGUGGUGCAUGGUUGUCGUCAGCUCGUGUCGUGAGAUGUUGGGUUAAGUCCCGCAACGAGCGCAACCCUUAUCAUUAGUUGCUACGCAAGGGCACUCUAAUGAGACUGCCGGUGACAAACCGGAGGAAGGUGGGGAUGACGUCAGGUCAUCAUGGCCCUUAUGGGUAGGGCUACACACGUCAUACAAUGGCCGGUACAGAGGGCUGCCAACCCGCGAGGGGGAGCGAAUCUCAGAAAACCGGUCGUAGUCCGGAUCGCAGUCUGCAACUCGACUGCGUGAAGUCGGAAUCGCUAGUAAUCGCGGAUCAGCUUGCCGCGGUGAAUACGUUCCCGGGUCUUGUACACACCGCCCGUCACACCAUGGGAGCGGGUUCUGCCAGAAGUAGUUAGCCUAACCGCAAGGAGGGCGAUUACCACGGCAGGGUUCGUGACUGGGGUGAAGUCUGAGCCAGGAUCAAACUCUACC
rnacentral:rRNA from 1 species